AGGUGUGGGUUUCCUUUCCUUGGGAUCCGUGCCGUAGCUAACGCAUUAAGUACCCCGCCUGGGGAGUACGGCCGCAAGGCUAAAACUCAAAGAAAUUGACGGGGGCCCGCACAAGCGGCGGAGCAUGUGGAUUAAUUCGAUGCAACGCGAAGAACCUUACCUGGGUUUGACAUGCACAGGACGCCGGCAGAGAUGUCGGUUCCCUUGUGGCCUGUGUGCAGGUGGUGCAUGGCUGUCGUCAGCUCGUGUCGUGAGAUGUUGGGUUAAGUCCCGCAACGAGCGCAACCCUUGUCUCAUGUUGCCAGCGGGUAAUGCCGGGGACUCGUGAGAGACUGCCGGGGUCAACUCGGAGGAAGGUGGGGAUGACGUCAAGUCAUCAUGCCCCUUAUGUCCAGGGCUUCACACAUGCUACAAUGGCCGGUACAAAGGGCUGCGAUGCCGCGAGGUUAAGCGAAUCCUUUUAAAGCCGGUCUCAGUUCGGAUCGGGGUCUGCAACUCGACCCCGUGAAGUCGGAGUCGCUAGUAAUCGCAGAUCAGCAACGCUGCGGUGAUACGUUCCCGGGCUUUGUACACACCG
rnacentral:rRNA from 1 species